rnacentral:rRNA from 1 species
GGAGGGGGCUAGCGUUGUUCGGAAUUACUGGGCGUAAAGCGCGCGUAGGCGGACCUGCAAGUCGGGGGUGAAAGCCCGAGGCUCAACCUCGGAACUGCCUUCGAUACUGCGGGUCUCGAGUCCGGGAGAGGUGAGUGGAAUUCCUAGUGUAGAGGUGAAAUUCGUAGAUAUUAGGAAGAACACCAGUGGCGAAGGCGGCUCACUGGCCCGGUAGUGACGCUGAGGCGCGAAAGACGUGGGGAGGCAAACAGGAUUAGAUACCCUGGUAGUCCACGCCGUAAACUAAUGGUGCUAGCCGUCGGUCGGCAUGCCGGUCGGUGGCGCAGCAAACGCAUUAAGCACCCCGCCUGGGGAGUACGGUCGCAAGAUUA